GGAGAGGUGGCCGAGCGGUUGAAGGCGCACGCUUGGAAAGCGUGUGUAGGUUAACCCCUACCGAGGGUUCGAAUCCCUCCCUCUCCG
rnacentral:tRNA from 1 species